UCAAGGAGUAGUUUAAUUAGAAUCUCAGCUUUGGGUGUUGAGGGUGGGGCGUAGUGCCUUCUCCUUGA
rnacentral:tRNA from 1 species